CAAAGGGAUUACCGGUGGCGGAUGGGCAUGCGGCGCAUUAGCUAGUCGGCGGGGUAACGGCCCACCGAGGCGACGAUGCGUAGGGGUUCUGAGAGGAAGGUCCCCCACACUGGUACUGAGACACGGACCAGACUCCUACGGGAGGCAGCAGUGAGGAAUAUUGGUCAAUGGGCGCGAGCCUGAACCAGCCAAGUCGCGUGAGGGAUGACGGUCCUACGGAUUGUAAACCUCUUUUGCCGGGGAGCAAGCGUGCGUUCGUGAACGCGCGUCGAGAGUACCCGGAGAAAAAGCAUCGGCUAACUCCGUGCCAGCAGCCGCGGUAAUACGGAGGAUGCGAGCGUUAUCCGGAUUUAUUGGGUUUAAGGGGUGCGUAGGCGGGAUGCCAAGUCAGCGGUAAAAAUGCGGUGCUCAACGCCGUCGAGCCGUUGAAACUGGCGUUCUUGAGUGGGCGAGAAGUAUGCGGAAUGCGUGGUGUAGCGGUGAAAUGCAUAGAUAUCACGCAGAACUCCGAUUGCGAAGGCAGCAUACCGGCGCCCUACUGACGCUGAGGCACGAAAGCGUGGGUAUCGAACAGGAUUAGAUACCCUGGUAGUCCACGCAGUAAACGAUGAAUGCUAACUGUCCGGCUCGAAUGAGCGCUGG
rnacentral:rRNA from 1 species